rnacentral:hammerhead_ribozyme from 1 species
AUCUAGCUGACGAGUCCUAAAUAGGACGAAACGCACGUCAAACUGGAU